rnacentral:rRNA from 1 species
GGAUUUCUGGUUUAAUGCACCUGGCCCGCGGCCACUAGGCUUGUGAGUGCCGGCGCGCGUUUACCAUCCUUCUAGAAAACUAGGACUUCGGUUCUAUUUUGUUGGUUUCUAUAACUGAAGUAAUGAUUGAUAGGGAUAGUUGGGGGUGCUAGCAGAGGUGAAAUUCUUGGAUUCGGUCAAGACUAACUUAUGCGAAAGCAUUCACCAAGGAUGUCUUCUUCUGUCUCUUAUACACAUCUCCGAGCCCACGAGA